GGAUUCGUGUAAGGUUCGUCAACACGAACUGGUCAGCUAAACAGCAACAGUUUAUUUACAUGUUUGCAGAGAAUCAUUAAUCCAUCGGAUACGUUCGGCGACAUGUCUGUUUAAUUCCGCACAUAGACGGCGGGGGCGCUCCUUUCGACGCAGCAACGCAAUUCAAUCCCGUAUGAAAUCAUUGAUACUUUCAACGUUGUGUUUAAUCAAGUAAUUAUUGAUUAUCGAGAAGUACGUAAACUCGUAGGGAUAGACGAAAGUUACUUGUUUCUUUGGAUCUGCACGUUCUAAGACUCUGAUGGAUAUUUCUUCAUCCAUUGCAUCAUUGGAUUUUCUUUGCUUUGUUUCCAAUGGAUAUGGAUCUUCAGGAGCAUCGAUUUGGGACAUUUGAAAAUCCCCAAGUCCAGCUAACAAAUGAGGUCUUUUAUUCUUAUAAGCCACACUUCUCUGUUUUUGAGAGCCAACUCGCCUUAAAACAUUCAGAGCAUCUGUAGCUGUAUCCAACUGAGAAAUUUUUGCUUCUGGGAGCCACUUGUUGAUUGUAGUCUGUACACGGUUCUUGUAAUCCUGACGUUUCUGCAAUUGAAUUUAUAUUAUUAUCCGAUGGAUUUAAAGUGGAGACAACGAAAAGAAUAGUUGUAGCUACUUUUGCUGCGUCUAAUGUAGCAAAUAUAUCACCAACUGGUGGCACAAUAAUGGAAAAUCGUUGUUUAAAUCUAGGUAUACUGUUACAAACAAUUCAAUAAUUAAUUACAUACAUUUUCAUUAAUGUAGUUUAUCAUUUCAUGCAAUAUACCUUAUGUGUGUUGAGCCACAAGGGCUGGUAGUUACGGUUGCAGUCUCAUCCACUUUCGUUAUGACAGAUAAGACUUUUUGAAGAUCUAAGUCCUUCUGCAAUGGUACUACACAUAUAAGGAUUGGAGCAGAAUUAGAUCCUCCUAAAUUUCUUUUCUGUUGCAAUACAUUCUCUCUCUUAUUUUUCCUAAUUUGAGAUAACUGAUGUCUUCUAGCUUCUUUUCCAAGAUCCUUGUGCGCGCGUUUCGAUAGAACUUUCACGCUAACUUUCCCUAAAAAAUCAAAUGUAUGGCACUUAAA